GGGGUGGCUGAGCGCCCGGCUCGGCCGGGCGUGGGAGGGCUGUAGCGGGUCACCCUGAUCCUCACGGCUGCGCCGCCCGCGGCCCGGGGUCCUCCUGGCGAGGGGCUGCCUGGUUAUUCCUGCUGCUCCCCGUGCCCGCCCCUAGCCGCUCCCCCGCGGCGUUGGUGCAGCCCGGCAGCAGGAAGGCACUGAUGAGGUGAUCUCAUUCCUGUGUCCUCUCUUGGAGAGUUUGCACAUGAAGUCCCAGCAGAUGACCUCAAGCAUCACGUGUAGAGCAGAAGUCUAUUAAUGAUAAGGGCAGACAUUUCAGAGGAUGACAUCUGGAGCUAAGUCAUCAUCACCUAUAAUCAGGACAACAACCAGGCAGCAGCCUACAUCCUGGGGCAGUGCUGCUCCUGUGUGGUCUGAGGACCUGCCUGUGUCCACCAGCUGCCUGUUCCUGGUUCCUGACAAGGUCUGGAGCUGAGGAGAUGGUUUGGGAGUCUGUGGAAUGAAGAGGGAGAGAAUGGACCCAUGAAUGGAACCACCAGGGAAGGAAGGCCCCCUGCCCAAGGCAGAGGAGAGAAGAUGGAGAAGAAGGAGCCACCAGCUAGCUUGUCCUGCUGUCUACAAGGGAGCAGGACUUGGAGCAGAAGUGAGUGUGCCUGAGUCCUGCAGUGCCUUCCAUCAGUGGACCCAAGAAUAAGGCAAGGUUUGGGCAUCUCACAGCUUCUUCCCAUGUGAGGUGUGAUUUUUUUUUUUUCCUCUUCCUGGUGGGGAGAGUCUUCCCUGAUAACUCAGCUGGUAAAGAAUCCACCUGCAAUGCAGGAGAUCUGUGUUGGGAAGUUCCCCUGGAGAAGGGAAAGGCUACCCACUCUAGCAUUCUGGCCUAGGGAAUUCCAUGGACUAUAAAGAAUUGGACAUGACUGAGCAACUUUCACUUUCACUUUCCUGGUGAGGACCACAUGGAGCCCUGGGGUUCUUCUCUCAAUUCUUACUUAGCUUGUGUUUUAAGGUGUCGCUGACAAUCUGGUUUUAGAAAAGGCAGAGGAACCAGAGAUCAAAUUGCCAACAUCUGCUGGAUCAUUGAAAAAGCAAGAGAGUUCCAGAAAAACACCUAUUUCUGCUUUAUUGACU